AUGACAAUGAGGAUUGAAAAGAGUUACCUACUGAAAGCAGUCAGGUGCCUUUUCGAUGCAAUUCUGAUGUUGAGCAAUCGAAUUCAGCAAAAUCAAGUACGAAUCUCCCAGUCUUUUCUCCUUCUGCGUGCGUUCUUCUUAUACAAUUUAUGCGAUUUCAGAUCUCUUUGUAUUCCGUGCGUUCUUGCAGAUGAAGAGUGA